rnacentral:rRNA from 1 species
AUUGAACGCUGGCGGCAGGCCUAACGCAUGCAAGUCGAGCGGUAGCACAGAGAGCUUGCUCUCGGGUGACGAGCGGCGGACGGGUGAGUAAUGUCUGGGAAACUGCCUGAUGGAGGGGGAUAACUACUGGAAACGGUAGCUAAUACCGCAUAACGUCGCAAGACCAAAGAGGGGGACCUUCGGGCCUCUUGCCAUCAGAUGUGCCCAGAUGGGAUUAGCUAGUAGGUGGGGUAACGGCUCACCUAGGCGACGAUCCCUAGCUGGUCUGAGAGGAUGACCAGCCACACUGGAACUGAGACACGGUCCAGACUCCUACGGGAGGCAGCAGUGGGGAAUAUUGCACAAUGGGCGCAAGCCUGAUGCAGCCAUGCCGCGUGUAUGAAGAAGGCCUUCGGGUUGUAAAGUACUUUCAGCGGGGAGGAAGGUGUUGAGGUUAAUAACCUCAGCAAUUGACGUUACCCGCAGAAGAAGCACCGGCUAACUCCGUGCCAGCCGCCGCGGUAA